AUUGAACGCUGGCGGCAGGCCUAACACAUGCAAGUCGAACGGUAACAGGAAGAAGCUUGCUUCUUUGCUGACGAGUGGCGGACGGGUGAGUAAUGUCUGGGAAACUGCCUGAUGGAGGGGGAUAACUACUGGCAACGGUAGCUAAUACCGCAUAACGUCGCAAGCCCAAAAAGGGGGACCUUCGGGCCUCUUGCCAUCGGAUGUGCCCAGAUGGGAUUAGCUAGUAGGUGGGGUAACGGCUCACCUAGGCGACGAUCCCUAGCUGGUCUGAGAGGAUGACAAGCCACACUGGAACUGAGACACGGUCCUGACUCCUACGGGAGGCAGCAGUGCGGAAUAUUGCACAAUGGGCGCAAGCCUGAUGCAGCCAUGCCGCGUGUAUGAAGAAGGACUUCGGGUUGUAAAGUGCUUUCAGCGGGGAGAAAGGGAGUAAAGUUAAUACCUUUCCUCAUUGACGUUACCCGCAGAAGAAGCACCGGCUAACUCCGUG
rnacentral:rRNA from 1 species